rnacentral:rRNA from 1 species
UUUAUUGGAGAGUUUGAUCCUGGCUCAGGAUGAACGCUGGCGGCGUGCCUAAUACAUGCAAGUCGAGCGAAUGGAUUGAGAGCUUGCUCUCAAGAAGUUAGCGGCGGACGGGUGAGUAACACGUGGGUAACCUGCCCAUAAGACUGGGAUAACUCCGGGAAACCG